rnacentral:Y_RNA from 1 species
GGCUGGCCCGAGUGCAGUGGUGUUUAGAACUAAUUGAUCACAACCAGUUACAGAUUCCUUUGUUCUUUGUCCACUAUCACUGCUUCACUUGAUUACGCUAAA